UGAAAAAUAAAUACUUUUUGUUCCACUAACACUUGUCUUGGUCUGCCUCACUGGGAUUCCAGCCGCUAAGGGCCGCCCUGUUACAAGUGAUGUCAGAAGUGUGUCAUUCAUGCUACAGUAAGAAGAUGAUGACAAAAGAGGGAAAAAAGCCACGCCAAGAGGAGCAGCCGGAUGAAGGAGUUGGAGCUUCAUCUGACCUAGAGACCAUGGCAACAGCAAGCCAUGAGGACAAAUUGGAGGAACUUACUGGAUUGGUGAAAUCUCUUAUUCAGUCUCAAGCAGCCAGAGACCACAAGUGGAAGAAAGAUUUGUCACGUCAGGAGCAAAGGUGGAAAGGCAUGCGGCAUCAAUUUCAGAAAAUCCAGCAACAAGUUAACACUGCAAUUGAUAAGCCUGGUCCACCAGAGGCACCAGGACCCCCUACGACAAUUGAAGAACAAGAACAUGGAUUCAGUGGUGAAGACAUUCCAUUCUUAUGGAUUUAACAGACUCUGAGGACUAUGAUAAAGUGAAGGAGGCUAUUCUGGCAAAAUAUGAGACACCUAUGCUGACACCUAUAGAUGCCACUUCAGAUCCCUGAAAGUUGAACAAGAUAAUUCUGGAGCAGUUUUUGAGAAUGGUUAACCCAGAGCUGGAGAUCUGGAUAUGUGAGUGUGACCCGAAGACAGCAAAGGAAGCCGCGAACCUCACAGAGGUUUUCACUACAGCCAGAAAGGGAAGCAAGUGCAACUACUUCAGCCGGAAGAACCACUACGCUCAACCAAGUGCUGACUGGGAUCAAUGGCUGCGUUACCUUCUGUUCGCCUACUGGGAGAUCCUGCAGGUUUCCACUGGCUCCUCACCUUUUGAACUUUUGUACACCCACCAAGUGAGAGGCCCACUGGAUCUGCUGAAGGACUGCUGGGAGGACCCCAAAGCAGAGGGUGAAAACAUCGCAGCCUACGUCAUCAACAUGAGAGAGAGAUUGGGGGGAAUGGUAUCAUUAGUGCAGGACAACAUGAUAGCAACACAAACAUCAGAAGACAUGGUAUGAUUGGAAGGCCAGGGAUAGGGUAUCCUUCCAGGUCAGAAAGUAAUAUUAUUGCUUCCCACUAGCGAUAACAAGCUGCUGACAAAAUGACAUGGACCAUACAAGAUCAUCAGACAAGUAAGUAAAGUCACUUAUGAAUUGAAUAUGCCAGAAAGAGCCAAAAAAUAUCAGACAUUUCGUGUGAACCCGUUGAAAAAAUUCCACAGCCGACAAGAGCCAGUCCAUCAGUUACUGGUGCGUUUAGUUAGGGAUGAGGAGGUGAUGGAGAAGUUCUUUCCAACUGACAUUCCAGAUUGUGCUUCAGUUGACCUUUCUCAUUUUUCUCCUACUGAGUAGGCCAAUAUAAAACCACUUGUGGAUCCACAGCUCUUUCGAGAAAUGCCAAGCUUCACGUCACUGGUUCAACACAAGAUGUGGGUGAAGGAGAAUGUACCUGUUCGUCAAAAGAGCCACGGGAUUCCAGAGCGAUAUUUGAAUGCAGUAUCCAAGGUUGAUACCCUAACCCCUAACCCAAUGCCCAGGGUGGAUGACCUGUUGGGGAGAGUUGGAUCAGCAAGCGACACUGGAUCUGUGUAAGGGAUACUGGCAAGUGGCUUUGGCACCAGAAGCAAAAGAGCUGACAGCCUUCAAAACUCUUUUUGCACCACGGGACAAAAGAGUCAACCACAGUCCGAUACUCUGUCUCAUCACCUCACUGAUGCAUCCAACCACCGCAGAAUCAUCAGAAAAGUUCUGAAGCAGGUCUC